GUGGCCUAGUGGUUAGAGCAUCCGCCUCGGACGCGGGAGGUCUUGGUUUCGAUCUCCGGCCGAGUCA